GGCUAUGAACAGGAAUGAGAACGAGGUAGGAAGUUCAGAGCAACAAGGAAAGCCUAGAGGGGAACUUGAAAAGAGAGGUAGGAAGUUUCCUAGGAAAAACUGCAGCAGAGAGAAAGGAGCAGACCUAGCUGUUGGGUAGGGGGCCCUGGGCUGGUACCAGUGUCAGAGUGAGACUGGGUUCCCCUCCCGGCCCCAAAGAAGGGGGUGUACACGCACCCAAAGAAGGCUACCAAGCCCAGUAAGGGGGCUUCAGACUGAGCAAGAGCCCCAGUGAGGGCAGAAGGACUUCUUUCUGUGGGAAGACCUCUUUGGACUUUUAGUGUGAGGCAAGCUGAGCCCCAGAAGGAUGGACUAAAGGUGGUGACCGGCCAGAGGCUGAGUUACCAGACUGAGAAACUGCCGUGGUGCUUGAGCGACCAUUGAUGGGGUACGCUAGCCCAGCGAGAGGGCUGUGAUUCCUUGCCUUGUCACCAGGAGGCACGUAACAAUGAGUAGAUUUGUUUACGUUUGGCAUAAUCGGCCAGAUUGAAUUCCCCUUGUCAUCCCUGAGGGCUGAUGGAAGUCUUGGUUGCUGAAGGAAGGUCUCUCCCCUGAAGCGGGAGUGUCGAGGGACCGAGCUGGUCACUGGAUUUCACACUUCAGUUCCAGGGACUCAUUAAGCAGCCAAAGCAGGUCUAGGGGUUUCUCUAGCAGCUCCUAGAAAACCAACAGAAGCAGAAGGAAGUGCAGGCAGAUCUACAGACGCAGCUGGCAAUCUUCAUGGAGCCGCAGCAAUACCUGUCAGAGAUCCUGCAAAGGGAAAUCAACCCAGGGUCUGCUAUGCCCAUGGACAAAAAAGAGCAGAUAAGGAGAGCAUGCCUGGGCUAUGCUGAGAAGGUUAGUCCAGGAGAGCAGGGCAUGAGAAAGUGUACAAGCCUGGACUAAUGCCAAGAUGGAGACAAAAGAUCUCUGUUUUUGCUGCAGAGAAGUAGGCCAUAACAAAAGACACGGCCUGUUUAGGAACUUGGUGAGUGGCAAAAGGAGGGGCCAGGGCCCCAAGAAGGUAGAGAGAAAGGAGAAGGUGAACUCUGGCACAAACACACAUGAAGCGGGCAAGGUGGAGGUGGCAGUGAUGGCCGUGGACCUUGCAGACUCUCAGCGAGCACACCCUGUCGGGUGCUCCAGGGAGGUGAAGGAUGAAAUGGUUGGCCCAGAGUUGAAGCAGGCUGAAGUAGGGACAAACACAAGGGUGGAACAGGCCAUGGUGGGUCCUCAGACCCUGAUGGAAAAGGUUUUGGGGGAUGCAGCAGCAGUAGCAAAAAGGCUACAGAAGAAGCUAGUGGCUUCAGAACAGGCUCUGCAAGCAGCUGUUAAUAGGAAUGAGGAGCUGCAGGAAGAGCACUGGGAUACUGCAGAAGAGAAGGAUUGCCUCAAUUCUGGUGAGCGAGCUGGCAGGGGAGCUGGAGACGCCCAGUGCCCCGGGCUGUACAAGCGCGCAGCAGGUGAUAGUGAUGAGAUGGCAAGGGAUGAAGCUUGGACAAGAGUAGAACUUGCCCCUAGUUUGGGCCAGAUUUUAGGGAAGAAGGUAUAUAACAGGGUGGUUUGGUCUGUGGGCUGCAAAGCCUGGAGCUAGGCCAAAUGGAUUAUAAAGUGAGCCUCACCUGAGGGGAAAACCGCAGCAAAAGAACAGGAGCAGACCUAGCUGUUCGGUACAGGACCAGAACCUAGAGUCCAGGGUAGUACCAGGUUCUCCCACUGUUCCCAAGCAAGGGGACCUACAAGGCCAUAGAAAGGGUUACCAAGCCCAGCAAGGGCAGGCCGAGCCAAAGUCAGGCUGAGGAAGAGCCCCCACGAGGGCGGAAGGCCUUGUUUCUGUUUUGGACAGACAUUUUUGGACUUUUAGUUUGCGAUGGGUGCGACCCAGGACGGAGUGGACUAAAGGACGGUCACCUGGCUAGAGGGCUGAGUUGCCAGCCAAGAAACUGCCAGAGCGACUAUCGGUGGGGGUGCUAGCCCAGCAAGGAAAACUGUAACACCAGGCCUGGUCAGGACCUAGCGGGCUCACCAUCCAUCCUGGAGCUGAACAGCAGAUGGGAGCUCAUAGAUUGUCCUUGGUGGCCCAUGUCCCUGUGUGUGAUGGAGCUGUGUGUCAGAGAGGGCCAGGAGCAGAUGCACCAUGCAUGGCCAGAAAUGGGCUAAACAGCCUGUCAUGCUAGAUCGUCAGCCAGUGAGGCCAGCUUGCAGAAUGUGGAAGAGCCGUUUGGCAAUGAGUUGGAGGAUUCACCAUGUAGGUGGCAGCCGCUGCAAUGGCUAGAGUCCCCAUGGGCAAGCCUCCAUUCCUGACACUCCAGGCUAACCUCCCACUGCUCUCAGGGGGGUUUGGCUUUACCUGCGGGGCCGGCAUGCUCAGACAGAGGACUCAGGUAUUUCCAUCAGGCUGCUCAGUGGCAAAUGUAGCCAUCCAAAGAAGUGAAGAACGGAAGGGAAAGAGCAGAGCUGGACCAUCAAGCUGCUGCAAUCAAGUGACCACACCUGGGGAGAAAAGAGGGAGAACUCAAAGUGGCUGGUGGCUCUAGGGAGGAAAAGCAGUUUGGGAGCCAGCAGAGUAGAAAUAAAGAGUUAAUGAUGAAUAUUGCACACUUUGUCUUGUGUUAGUGAAGGGUUUAAAAGGGGUCUCUUUACUAUCACACUAACCUUUAAAAUAGCUGGAUAUGAUGAAAGGGCAGGUCUAUAAAGGUAAGAGGUGACUCUAGGAGCUUGAAGUCUCAGAUUCUGUCACAAUUGCAUGCUUCUACUAGCUGAUCUCAACCCAACAAAUCCCUCAGCUGGUAGCAGUAGCCAGCUCUUAUCCCCUAUUUCUGGACUAGCUGCCAGGAAAAGGAAAUGAUGCAUGGGGGUCACUUGCAGAGUUGCUGUUAAUGCGGCUCUUGUGGGGGAGCACAGCAGGGUACUGUGGACUCGGGGGCGCCAUUUCAGAUUGGGGCAAUUUAUCCAUGAUUCCAGGGCGUCACCGUGAAUAAGUGGGUCACAACUGAGAAUACCAAAUUC